rnacentral:rRNA from 1 species
GACGAACGCUGGCGGCGUGCCUAACACAUGCAAGUCGAACGGAGAUACGAUUUCGGUUGUAUCUUAGUGGCGAACGGGUGAGUAACGCGUGAACAACCUGACUCUAAGAGGGGGAUAACACUCGGAAACGGGUGCUAAUACCGCAUAAGACCACGACCCGGCAUCGGGAUGAGGUCAAAGGAGCAAUCCGCUGAGAGAGGGGUUCGCGUCCCAUUAGAUAGAUGGCGGGGUAACGGCCCACCAUGUCAACGAUGGGUAGCCGAGCUGAGAGGCUGAUCGGCCACACUGGAACUGAGACACGGUCCAGACUCCUACGGGAGGCAGCAGUGGGGAAUAUUGGGCAAUGGGCGCAAGCCUGACCCAGCAACGCCGCGUGAGGGAAGAAGGCUUUCGGGUUGUAAACCUCUGUCCUUGGUGACGAAACAAAUGACGGUAGCCAAGGAGGAAGCCCCGGCUAACUACGUGCCAGCCGCCGCCGUAA